GACGAACGCUGGCGGCGUGCUUAACACAUGCAAGUCGAACGGAAAGGCCCUGCUUUUGUGGGGUGCUCGAGUGGCGAACGGGUGAGUAACACGUGAGUAACCUGCCCUUGACUUUGGGAUAACUUCAGGAAACUGGGGCUAAUACCGGAUAGGAGCUCCUGCUGCAUGGUGGGGGUUGGAAAGUUUCGGCGGUUGGGGAUGGACUCGCGGCUUAUCAGCUUGUUGGUGGGGUAGUGGCUUACCAAGGCUUUGACGGGCAGCCGGCCUGAGAGGGUGACCGGCCACAUUGGGACUGAGAUACGGCCCAGACUCCUACGGGAGGCAGCAGUGGGGAAUAUUGCACAAUGGGCGGAAGCCUGAUGCAGCAACGCCGCGUGCGGGAUGGCGGCCUUCGGGUUGUAAACCGCUUUCGCCUGUGACAAAGCGUGAGUGACGGUAAUGGGUAAAGAAGCACCGGCUAACUACGUG
rnacentral:rRNA from 1 species